rnacentral:rRNA from 14 species
AAACUUUCAACAAUGGAUCUCUUGGUUCCGGCAUCGAUGAAGAACGCAGCGAACUGCGAUAAGUAAUGUGAAUUGCAGAAUUCAGUGAAUCAUCGAGUCUUUGAACGCACAUUGCGCCCCCUGGUAUUCCGGGGGGCAUGCCUGUCCGAGCGUCAUU